GUCUUUUGAUUGGGGACUGGAAUGAAUGGUUAAAUGAAAUAUAUACUUUUUUUAUCUUUUUUAGGAGAAUUUAAAUUUUUUGUUAAAAAGCAGAGAUGAUAUUAAGGGACGAGAAGACCCUAUAGAGCUUUAUUAUUAAUAAUAUAAUUUAUAUUUAUUAUAUAGUUAUAUAAUAUAUUAUUAGUAAUUUGAUUGGGGUGAUUGAAAAAAUACAAUAACUUUUUUUGUUUAAAUACAUAUAUAAAUGUGUUUUUGAUCCAAUUAUUUUGAUUAAAAGAUUAAGCUACCUUAGGGAUAACAGCGUUAUUUUUUUGUAGAGUUCUUAUCGAAAAAGAAGUUUGCGACCUCGAUGUUGGAUUAAAAUUAGUUUUGGGUGAAGUGGUUUAUUGACUGAUG
rnacentral:rRNA from 1 species